AAUGUUAUUUGCAAGUUUUCAGAAAAGAGUGGGAAAAAAGCAACAACAGCAGAGACAAUGUUAACCAGGUCUAGCAUACGGCCAACGCCAAGUUUUCGAUCACCACUACCAAAGUCCAAGAAACGAAGCUUUUGGGACACUACUACUGCUAACAGCCCAUCAGUUACUGCACUAAAUGGGAGAAAAACUAGAAGCCAUGUCAUGUCUGAACCCACACUUCUUCAGUCUGCUUGUCGAAAGGGAAAUACUUGGAAGUGAAGGGGGAGAUUCAAGGACAGACUAGAACCCAUGUGACAGAAGGUCUGGUAUUUUUUGAAGACUUUGAACUGGCCGUGGCACAAACGAAAUUCCAUUAUUAAGUAUGUCUGUAAAUGAGAUAGAGAAUGAUAGGUUAUUAGGCUUAGUUAGGAGUAGAACCAGAGGGUAUUGAUACUUUUGAGAAAAUUCUGUGAUUAUUUUUAUUUCUCAUUGUAUUCAUUCAUUUUUUUCUUAUUUGAUUUGAAUGGUAUAUUAUUGUUAAUGCAA